GAAGUACGCUGGGCGAUCGCGCGCUGCAGUUACGGCUGCAGUUGGGUGAGGAAAGUCCGGGCUUCAUCGGGCAAGGUGCAGGAUAACGUCCUGUCGGGGCGACUCGAAGGAAAGUGCCACAGAAACAUACCGCCCCGCAAAGUGCGUGCACUUUGUGGGGUAAGGGUGAAAUCGUGAGGUAAGAGCUCACGGAGCGACGCGGCGACGCGCGGUCGGGUAAACCCCACCUGAAGCAAGACGGCUCGACGACAACGAGGCGGCCCGCCUCAAACGAGCUACGUUGCAUCGAGAUGCGCGGUAACGCGCGUCCCAGAGAGAUGAUCGCCGAAGCGGCAACGCUUUACAGAAUCCGGCUUACAGGCGUACUUCGCAA
rnacentral:RNase_P_RNA from 1 species